CAUUCCCAACACAUAGUGUAAGACAGGAUGGUGUUCUCUGCACACAGAAGCACCCAGAUGCAUCAUCUGCUCCAACUUGCUGCCAUCGUAAUCGCGUUGUUGAUGUUAUUUUGUCUUCAACUGUCGUUCGGCAGUGGAGCACACCAUUACCCUUCGGGUGAUCAUGUCAAGCCUCCAACUGUUGAUCCUCCCAAGAAGGGAUGAGAAUGAAUGCGCUACAAUUUGUCACCUCAUAUGGAAUACGUAGUAAAUGAGACAAUUUAUUCUCAUUUAAUCUAUAACUAUCUAUCUUGGUGUAUUGUACACUCUUCUAUCUAAACAAAUGCAAUUCUAAUUUUGUGAUAAGUUAAACUAUCUCAUGUUUGACUAAAUUUAGAGAACAUGGAAAAUGUUCUCAACAUUGAUAACCCCAAAUAUAUGUACUAUGAAAAUAUUUAAUGAUGAAUCUAGUUAUAUUUAUUUUGUGUCAUAAUAUUGAUACUCUUCUCUGUAAAUUUACACAUGCUUAAAAUAGUUUUACUUAGGAUAAAACUGUACUUACAUUGUUUUUGCAACGGAGGGAGUAUUUUUUCUGAUAUAUCCACGAGCUGCCUUAAAUGCGUGAAGUAUGGAGUGUUAGAUGAUAUAGAGGGUGUAAAAGCCUGAUGUGGAAAAUAACAGCUGCAGCCCAAGAAGAAGCAUACAUCCGUGUAGAAAGUUUAGUAUACCAUGCUGCCAAAAAGGAAACCUUUGGACCUUUCUAGUAAGAGGAAACGUUUCCAAGUUGCAUUGGGCCGGUACACAAUUACAAAAAUCAAUUAAUACAAUAUUGUUUUUUUGUACUUUCCUUAA